GAUGAACGCUGGCGGCGUGCCUAAUACAUGCAAGUCGAGCGAACAGACGAGGAGCUUGCUCCUCUGACGUUAGCGGCGGACGGGUGAGUAACACGUGGAUAACCUACCUAUAAGACUGGGAUAACUUCGGGAAAACGGAGCUAAUACCGGAUAAUAUAUUGAACCGCAUGGUUCAAUAGUGAAAGACGGUUUUGCUGUCACUUAUAGAUGGUUCCGCGCCGCAUUAGCUAGUUGGUAAGGUAACGGCUUACCAAGGCAACGAUGCGUAGCCGACCUGAGAGGGUGAUCGGCCACACUGGAACUGAGACACGGUCCAGACUCCUACGGGAGGCAGCAGUGGGGAAUAUUCCACAAUGGGCGAAAGCCUGACGGAGCAACGCCGCGUGAGUGAUGAAGGCCUUCGGAUCGUAAAGCUCUGUUAUUAGGGAAGAACAGAUGUGUAAGUAACUAUGCACGUCUUGACGGUACCUAAUCAGAAAGCCACGGCUAACUACGUG
rnacentral:rRNA from 1 species